GACGAACGCUGGCGGCGUGCCUAAUACAUGCAAGUAGAACGCACAGGAUGCACCGUAGUUUACUACACCGUAUUCUGUGAGUUGCGAACGGGUGAGUAACGCGUAGGUAACCUGCCUGGUAGCGGGGGAUAACUAUUGGAAACGAUAGCUAAUACCGCAUAAGAACAUUUACUGCAUGGUAGAUGUUUAAAAGGUGCAAGAGCAUCACUACCAGAUGGACCUGCGUUGUAUUAGCUAGUUGGUGAGGUAACGGCUCACCAAGGCAACGAUACAUAGCCGACCUGAGAGGGUGAUCGGCCACACUGGGACUGAGACACGGCCCAGACUCCUACGGGAGGCAGCAGUAGGGAAUCUUCGGCAAUGGGGGGAACCCUGACCGAGCAACGCCGCGUGAGUGAAGAAGGUUUUCGGAUCGUAAAGCUCUGUUGUUAAGGAAGAACGUGUGUGAGAGUGGAAAGUUCACGCAGUGACGGUACUUAACCAGAAAGGGACGGCUAACUACGUGCCAGCAGCCGCGGUAAUACGUAGGUCCCGAGCGUUGUCCGGAUUUAUUGGGCGUAAAGCGAGCGCAGGCGGUUAGAUAAGUCUGAAGUGAAAGGCAGUGGCUCAACCAUUGUAGGCUUUGGAAACUGUUUAACUUGAGUGCAGAAGGGAAGAGUGGAAUUCCAUGUGUAGCGGUGAAAUGCGUAGAUAUAUGGAGGAACACCGGUGGCGAAAGCGGCUCUCUGGUCUGUAACUGACGCUGAGGCUCGAAAGCGUGGGGAGCGAACAGG
rnacentral:rRNA from 1 species